rnacentral:rRNA from 1 species
AGAGUUUGAUCAUGGCUCAGGACGAACGCUGGCGGCACGCUUAACACAUGCAAGUCGAACGAGAGAAGAGGAGCUUGCUUUUCUGAUCUAGUGGCGGACGGGUGAGUAACACGUGAGCAAUCUGCCUUUCAGAGGGGGAUACCGAUUGGAAACGAUCGUUAAUACCGCAUAACAUAAUUGAACCGCAUGAUUUGAUUAUCAAAGAUUUAUCGCUGAAAGAUGAGCUCGCGUCUGAUUAGCUAGUUGGUAAGGUAACGGCUUACCAAGGCGACGAUCAGUAGCCGGACUGAGAGGUUGAUCGGCCACAUUGGGACUGAGACACGGCCCAGACUCCUACGGGAGGCAGCAGUGGGGAAUAUUGCACAAUGGAGGAAACUCUGAUGCAGCGAUGCCGCGUGAGGGAAGAAGGUUUUAGGAUUGUAAACCUCUGUCUUCAGGGACGAAAAAAGACGGUACCUGAGGAGGAAGCUCCGGCUAACUACGUGCCAGCAGCCGCGGUAAUACGUAGGGAGCGAGCGUUGUCCGGAAUUACUGGGUGUAAAGGGAGCGUAGGCGGGAUCGCAAGUCAGAUGUGAAAACUAUGGGCUUAACCCAUAAACUGCAUUUGAAACUGUGGUUCUUGAGUGAAGUAGAGGUAAGCGGAAUUCCUAGUGUAGCGGUGAAAUGCGUAGAUAUUAGGAGGAACAUCAGUGGCGAAGGCGGCUUACUGGGCUUUAACUGACGCUGAGGCUCGAAAGCGUGGGGAGCAAACAGGAUUAGAUACCCUGGUAGUCCACGCCGUAAACGAUGAUUACUAGGUGUGGGGGGACUGACCCCUUCCGUGCCGCAGCAAACGCAAUAAGUAAUCCACCUGGGGAGUACGACCGCAAGGUUGAAACUCAAAGGAAUUGGCGGGGGCCCGCACAAGCAGUGGAGUAUGUGGAUUAAUUCGAAGCAACGCGAAGAACCUUACCAGGUCUUGACAUCGUAUGCAUAGCUCAGAGAUGAGUGAAAUCUCUUCGGAGACAUAUAGACAGGUGGUGCAUGGUUGUCGUCAGCUCGUGUCGUGAGAUGUUGGGUUAAGUCCCGCAACGAGCGCAACCCUUACUGUUAGUUGCUACGCAAGAGCACUCUAGCAGGACUGCCGUUGACAAAACGGAGGAAGGUGGGGAUGACGUCAAAUCAUCAUGCCCCUUAUGACCUGGGCCUCACACGUACUACAAUGGCUGUCAACAGAGGGAAGCAAAGCCGCGAGGUGGAGCGAACCCCUAAAAGCAGUCUUAGUUCGGAUUGUAGGCUGCAACCCGCCUACACGAAGUCGGAAUUGCUAGUAAUCGCAGAUCAGCAUGCUGCGGUGAAUACGUUCCCGGGCCUUGUACACACCGCCCGUCACGCCAUGGGAGUCGGUAACACCCGAAGCCUGUAGUCUAACCGCAAGGAGGACGCAGUCGAAGGUGGGAUUGAUGACUGGGGUGAAGUCGUAACAAGGUA